CAAAAUGCAUUGCUAACACAACUGCACAUGUUUGUUUAUUGGAAAGAACAUCACAAAGGGUGACAAUCCCAUGUGUCAUGUGUAUGUUUUGUGUACAGCGUGCAUUAUAUGAAUCACAUUCAUUGACAAUUGAAUGCAAAUAGAAUGGUAAAUUUCAUUUAAUCAUAAAUAUGUUGUUGACAACUUAUAGCAAACAAAUACCAUGAGGGAAAUGUGAAAAGGAUUUUGAAAAGAAAAUUAAAAGAGCUUGCAAUUGCUGAACUGAUAAGCAAACAAAACAUACGUGUGUAUGCAAGAUUGUUGUAAUGCUUAGCAUCCUAUGCAAGGCUAUUGCAAUGAUUUUUUGUAUAGUGAUGCUACCUUUUUUUAGAAUUUGGAAUGUCUUUUUUUGAGUGUGAAUGGAAUUUUGUUUGUUAGCAAAGGAAUGCACUUUUAGAUUCAUUGUUUGAUUUGAUUUAAAAAUGUUUGUGACACGUGUCUUUGUUUUAGUUUCAUGCUU
rnacentral:rRNA from 1 species